CCUACAACACUGACCUUUAUGACUUUGUAGGAGUGUAGGGUCACCACUGGAGACACAGACAGCUGUUUAGUGAGCUCUUUAAAGCUUAAUUUCCAUCAUUUAAUCAUUAGUUAUUAUUAAUCUCUGGCUCUCUUCCACAGCGUGUCUUUGUCCUGUUUUUGACCCCUUAUCCCCAACCGGUUGCAGCAGAUGGCCACCCACCCAGAGCCUGGUUCUGCCUGAGGUUUCUUCCUGUUAGAAGGGAGUUUUUCCUUCACACUGUCGCCAAAACGCUUGCUCAGUCAUAUGGUUGUUGUAGUUUUCUCUCUAUAAUAGUACCUAGAGGCAACUGUUGUUGUGACUUGGUGCUAUAUAAAUAAAAUAGACCUGAAUAUUGAAAAGGUAAUUGUUUGGAUCCCUUUGAAACAUUUAAAGGAGCACAACUAUGCACAGCUUUUCAUUCUGUCCAACAGAAUCAAGGCUGAUGAUCUCCUGAUGUACGCUGAUACAGAGCAAGCGGGUUUUAUUCAAGCUUCAUUUAAACCCAGAGUCCUCAAAGUGCAGCAGGCCAGCGGUGGCCUCUGUUAACAAUUCAUGCAGCCCUCUAACAACUCAGAAAGAAUGCCCUUCUGUACAUUUCAUUCAUCCGGUGCUGCUACAUUAUGUCACACUGCAAAGUAGUUGCACUGACUGUGACCAAGGGAGCUUUCUCUUUAGGUUUUAACUUUUCUGUCUUAAAUCUACUUAACAUUAUCAAAUAAAGCUGGGUUACUAAGCAGAAAAAAAUACAAACACUGAAUAUUUGCACAAGUUUAAAAACCUCUGAUUUAAAGCAUGGUGCUGCCAUACUGAGACUGAAAUAGUGAGUGCUGCUAGUUGGCACACAACCUCCAAAAUAAGCCAGAAAGACAGGCAUUUUUGGCAUUCUGUUCCCUUAUAAAGUUAGGUUGUACACAUACAGCAGCUACACCUUCACAACCUACAACCAACCACCACGAACAACCACAUGAAUUUAACCCUUGAGACUGUUUAUUCAUAACUUUGAAACCCUUGCGUUUCAGUCUUGAAAUAUAAAGAAACAGCAGUUAAAGAUGAUUUACAGCUCAUCAUCUGCUGAACAAAGCACGUCUCCUACUUCACAGGACGGCAUUUGCAGCGUAUCUUUACUGGAGGUUUCCGGUCUAAACAUCACCGCACUGUAAGCUGCAUUCGGUUUCCAUUCUUGUGAUGUCACCAAAUCCUGUUUGUGUUGAACUGAAGCAAAGAGAAACUUUUUCCCCUUCAGCAGAUAAAUGUGUCAUACUGUGCACAAAGCUCGACAUCAUUCCACACAGUCAAACAUCAAAGGGAAGCAACAAAAAAGCGAGACAUCAUUUGGAAUCGAGGGGACUUUAAAAGACAAUUCAUGCAUUGAAAUCCUGAACUGCUGCACUCAAUGAGACACCUGGUGAGCAGUAUGUGCAUUACACUGGGCCAUGAAUGAGAAAUCACUUUGGCUCUGAGACAACAACGGCUGUUGGAGGCUGAAUGAUGGCCCUGGAAUCUAAAGGACUGUACUUUAGAUUAGAUGCCUUCCUGUGACGUUACCUCGGUCAGAGUGGACAACAACCUCUGUGUGUUGUCCAGAGUGGUCCAGCAGUCAGACAGACAGUGGGACAUGUCCCUGAGUUUCUCCCUGACCGGAGGGAGUCGGAUCUGGACGUCGCUCAGGCCUGCCCAGUCCAGUUCACACCAGCCCUCCAAAUCACUGAGCACUGACAGAGUCUCACUGUGCAGCUCCUGAAAGAUGCAGGAAAAUGUGCUGUCAAGAAGUAUUUACUGUAGAAGACUGAUAGGACACACUUGGGAAAUCAUGGAUGGAAAAAUAUUGACUGCGUCUCUUGGGAAUAAACUGGGAAAACUUUUCAUUAGCUCGUUUCCAUGAGAAUGACACAAAUAUGCCACUGAAAGGCACAGUGGGCUCAAAGCACAUCUAUUCACAGUUUAUACUUUCAGUUAUUGACUUCUCAAACCCUACAGUGGGUGAUUCACAGUAACACAUGUGUCUUAAGUACGACUAAUAAGAUUUCUUAUCCCAGAGUUGACGUGACAGAAGGGAUGUUUUUGUUGGUGAUGUUAAAGUGCUGACAGAUACUGUAGGAACAAAGUGAAAGCAAAGAGUCUGAGGGCGGAUGCUUAAACUGUAUGUAAAUAUUCUCCAUGUUGUUAUUAUGAUGUAUGUUUACAUUACCAGAAGUCAUUUACAUGCAGAUAAAACUGGACACACUGCCUUUGUGUUUGAUGAAGGUCAGUCGGACCAAACCACUGUGAUGUAGUAAAUGUAUUAGCGGUACAUGAGACGGUGUGUGGGAGUCAUAUUUCACUGUUCUGUGAAUAUCGUGAAUAAAAUCUAACUGAGCUUUAGAAGACCAGUUACACCAGUCUAUAUGAGCCACAGCAGCCAACGCAUAAGUACUAUCAAGAGCUCAGAUCUAGACAUCGCUAUAAACAUUCGAGAA